UACGUAGGGCGCGAGCGUUGUCCGGAAUUAUUGGGCGUAAAGAGCUCGUAGGCGGCCUGUUGCGUCCGCUGUGAAAUCCCAGGGCUCAACCCUGGGCGUGCAGUGGAUACGGGCAGGCUGGAGGCAGGCAGGGGAGAACGGAAUUCCCGGUGUAGCGGUGAAAUGCGCAGAUAUCGGGAGGAACACCAGUGGCGAAGGCGGCCUUCUGGACCAGUACUGACGCUCAUGCACGAAAGCGUGGGGAGCAAACAGG
rnacentral:rRNA from 1 species